rnacentral:rRNA from 1 species
UACGUAGGGGGCUAGCGUUGUCCGGAUUUAUUGGGCGUAAAGAGCGUGUAGGCGGCCAGGUAGGUCUGCUGUGAAAACUCGAGGCUCAACCUCGAGACGUCGGCGGAAACCAUCUGGCUAGAGUCCGGAAGAGGAGAGUGGAAUUCCUGGUGUAGCGGUGAAAUGCGCAGAUAUCAGGAAGAACACCCGUGGCGAAGGCGGCUCUCUGGGACGGUAGUGACGCUGAGACGCGAAAGCGUGGGGAGCGAACAGG